GGGGAUUACCCAAUCCCC
rnacentral:misc_RNA from 1 species